rnacentral:piRNA from 1 species
UUGAUAUGAGGGCUCUGUCUCCA